rnacentral:rRNA from 1 species
GACGAACGCUGGCGGCGUGCUUAACACAUGCAAGUCGAACGGAAAGGCCCUGCUUUUGUGGGGUGCUCGAGUGGCGAACGGGUGAGUAACACGUGAGUAACCUGCCCUUGACUUUGGGAUAACUUCAGGAAACUGGGGCUAAUACCGGAUAGGAGCUCCUGCUGCAUGGUGGGGGUUGGAAAGUUUCGGCGGUUGGGGCUGGACUCGCGGCUUAUCAGCUUGUUGGUGGGGUAGUGGCUUACCAAGGCUUUGACGGGUAGACGGCCUGAGCGGGUGACCGGCCACUUUGGGACUGAGAUACGGCCCAGACGCCGACGACGGACAACAGUGGGGAGUAUUGCAGAAUGGGCGGAAGCCUGUUGCAGCAACGCCGCCUGCUGGAUGCCCGCUUUCGGGUUGUAGCCCGGUUUCGCCUGUGCCGAAGCGUGAGUGUCGGUAGUGGGUAUAGAAGCACCGGCUAACUACGUG